UCCGAAUAUUGCUAGCUGUUUCAAGUCUAAAUUUCUGUCCUUAUUCAAUAUACCCUCAUUUUCCGGUGGUAUUCUAAAGUUUCACGUCCAAUCUUACUGCCGACCUCCUAUUGUACGACCUACCUAUUGUAUUAAAAAUUUAUGUGUUAUAGUCUGUACUAGUACUUAGCACACAAAGACAAGAUCUUGUUAAAUGCUAUAUUUGUUUUUUUUUUUUUUUUUUUUGGGGGGGGGGGGGGGGGUUAUUCAGUUUAUCACAUAACUGCCUGCUUAUUAAAUUUUUUUUAAUAUUUAUUUACUAUGGUUCUUAUCCACUGUUUUAAUACGAUUUAUAACAUUUGAUUUUUUUUGUCAGGCAAGGAUAAAACUAAGAAAGAUAUAAACUAUAAAAAGCUUGAAGUUGUUGGGCUUAAUAUUCAUUGGUCAGUUAUAAAUGAGGUCUGUAUGGGGUUUUGAUUGCCUGAUUUAUUAAAUAAGAGAUCGCUAUUUUGAAAAGUUGGUUAAAAAAUAUUUAUUUACCCCCUAAUUAUGUAAAACUAUCCUUUGGUGUUAUUAAGAUUGCUAUUUUUUUUUAACAUAAAUGAAUAGUUAUAUGAUGUAAUGCCAUUAAAU
rnacentral:lncRNA from 1 species